GGUCCCUGAACCUCACAUUGAGAGAGACUCUAAAGUCCUGCCUCACGUCCGGGCCUCUGAAUUCCCACAGCUGGAUCCUGGAAGAGGAAUUAGGAAUGUGAAUCUCAGUCGUACAGUUGUCACUUUGGACGCCCCAGGCGCCGAGGCUUUUACUGUUCGGUUCUGACUGUGGAGCGUCUGGCAAGCAGGCAGCUCGAGCACUUCCCACCUUUUCGUUUAACCUCGUGGCCCCGGGAGAAUUCGAUUCAUCUCGUGGCUCACAAAAUGCCAUUCUCUCAGGGAUGGGGGGAGGGUGGGAAAGGAGAGGACACACAGGGCUCCACCACUCAAUUGACACCAGCUUGGCCUCAUAAAGUAUAUUGUGUGACUUCUGGCCAACUGCUUGAUAGCUCCAGGGGACACAAAGAAUGUUUUAACGUUUCUCUGGUUCCAGAAGAGAAGGAAGCAGAGAUGGAGAUUAAUGGGACCAUGGAGCUGGCACCUAACAUUUUCAAAGGACAGGACUUACAUAUAGAUAUGAGUGGGAUGUUUCCUUCUGACAUUCAUGGGCUGUUAUUAUUAGCUGGAUUCCUUUGUUCUUUUCUAGACAACUUAAAAUCAUUUUUUUUCCUCUCUCUCCAAAUCUAAGGAAGAAAAUAGAUGAAAGGAAGAACUAGAACUUAUUUUUAUAACUUGGAAAAAAACGAUGUUUGCGUUCUUCUAGGCUAUAGAGCUUCUCCCAGAUAAAGAACAGAAAUGGAAAGCAAUUUUCUCACCAUCACACAGCCAUUUGAGAAACAGACCGAGAGGCCUGCACUCAAUGUUUAGUGACCUGUUGCUCUUCAAAUCUUAAGAAAUUGACUUUCAAGUCAUCUGCUCCUACCACAUCUCUUGGUGGGAAAUCAUUAUAGAAGUUUGCUUCACCGCUGGGACUUGAGGAGGCAUCAGAAGCUACUCUAACUCACUCCGCAAUCUGGGGAUGAUGCACAGAGAAUGCCAGCGCCGAAGGGAACCUGCUCUUUACCCCUGUGGUGUGGAUUUGGUCACUAUGCAUGACCAAAUGCUCACUUUCUGUCAGCUCCUAGUAUUGGCAGGAAGAAGGAGGAAGUGAUUUUAAUUGUUCAAUGCUUAAAUCUAGGUUUCAUCAUAUAACACUGGAUGUCUUGGCCCUUUGUGCCAUGUCAUGAUAGUGCCUUUGUUAAGAUUUCUUCCAGAAGAAAGAAUGGAGUAAUGGAUCCCAAAGCCUGUGCUAUGGCUGUGGAUAGCCCUCCCCCAUCCAAGCUUCCUCAUCUGUAAAAUGGGGAUAUCCUCUGUAUCUUCCAGAAUCACUGAGGGAAUUAAAUGAGAUGGAGUAUGUAUUUAUGUGCAGCCCCACCCCCCAAUUCACCCAGAGAUUUGUGUGGUAUUUACACAUGUGCACUUCUCUGGGGCAAGCGCCCCUGUACACGUGAAGGUAAGGAAUAAUUGUCCAUUGUAGCCAUUAUUAAGUACCCACUGUGGGCCAGGUAUUGUGCCCAGCACUUACCAUAUGCAAUCAUAUUUCCUCUUGACAACAGUGUUGUGUGCGUGUGUGCAUGUGUAUAUAUGUGUGUGUAUGAAGCUUAAUACUCCUAUAUUAAAAAUGUAGGAGAGUAGCAUAAGGACUUCAAACAGUUGCAUUUUUAAAAAUUCCUUGAAACAUUAAAAUUAUUAAGUUUGAGUUGAAGGACAUAAAGACAAAUCUUGUUAAUUUUGGCACUUAAUGGCUAUAAAGAAACUACUCUUGGCUUUAAAGUGCUUUAAAUACAGCAAAGUAUUAUUAAAACUACCAUGAAGUGAACUUAACAUGGAAUGAUAAUUAUGUAUUUAACUAGUUCAAAAUGUUACAUGCAUGGAAAGAAGGCAUCAGACUAUCGAAACCACACACACUACUAAUUUUUCUUUUAACUUCUAUGGAGCUCUGAAAACAUGAGACAUUGUGUUCGAGUUAAAUAUGAUAUCUAUAGGCUGUCUGGUUAAGUUUCUCCCUUCCCCAUCCAUAGACCUCACUGAUUAAAGGGAAAUCAUACUGUGUGACCGAUAUCAAAUUCACAUGGGUUUGAUGAGGAUUAAACAGAUAAUGUCUGUAUAACACUGGAAGAGUCAGAUCCUGCUGAGUGAAUAACGUAUUACAGGGCUGGUUGAUUUCAUGUUUGGGAGACUGAAAUCAACUUCUUCAGAGUCUAAUAGCCAGCGUCCUGGCCCUGUAAUUAGAAUACAUCAAGACCUAGCGGAGAGAGGGGACUGAAAGCUCUUUUGGGCGUCAAAGUUCUCUUGGUGUUGCAGAGAAAUGUAGAAUGGGAGGGAACUUUGGAAAUCCUCCCACUCAUUCCCCUCCCAUUAGCCCGCCCAGCCACUCUGCCCUAGGUAGCAGAGUGCAGCAGUUCUGGAGUCAGGCAGACCUGAGCUUGAGUCCUAUUUCUAGCUGUCUGACCCUGAGCAAGUUAUUUAACAUCUCCAAAGCUCAGUUCCUACAUCUAUUAAAUCAGGACUAAUUCACUGGUUUAUUCAGCAGAUGUUUAAUGGUAUACUUACCAUGUGCCAGCUGGUGGGAAACAGAAAGACAAAAAAGUCAGAGAAAAGACAAAGAGAAAGAAGGUCCCUGCCCACUCUGGAGCUUAAUGCCAGAUGGAGGAGACAGAACUGAAAAGAAAUAAUUACAAACUAUGUUUGGCUCUGCAAGACUAAUGCUAAUUCCUAAGACAGACAAUAUCCCCUUCUGGAAGAUGGAAAAGAUGGGAAAACUAUGUUAUGCAGCCAAGAUGGAAUGAGAACUGGAGUGUUUCUACUGCUGCUGUAAUUGGAUUUUUCCAAGGAAAUUGACCCAGCACCUUCUCAGCCAUCAGUUUACGAUUACUGCAACACUCUGACCCAAAAGGCUUUUGUGAACAACCUUGUAAAACCUUGGUUGGAACCUUCAUAUGAAGAUAAAAAUUGCAAGUUGUCCCUAGAAGGCAAUAUAAUUGUAUCUUAUUUGGAGGCAAUGAAAACCAUUGUCAAAAAGCUUUCCCUCACAGAGCUAUAUGUUUUUUCCCUGUCAUUGUAUAUAACUAUCUGGGUUCUUAACUAGCUCCAAUAUCUUCCACGCUGCAUUCCAUUUCACGCUACCUGUCAAAAAGAGGAUACUGCACCCUUCUAGCCGCCUCAUGAUUUGUGUGAAAUCUUCCCAGGCAAAAACAGCCUUAUUGAAUUGGUACUUCACACCAUCACCUGAGGAAUUCUGACCAGGCCCGGAGGAAGUAGAACUCCAAAUUACUCACAAAGCAAAAGAAUUUUCUGUUUUCAUUUUCUUAAACCUGCAGCCUGGAGCCUGGAUCAGUUAGUAAAGUAUUUGGGCACAGGUAACAGAAAGUUGAUGUAUAGAGCAUUAAACAAAUAGCGGUUGCUUUUCAUACAUAUUGAGAGGUCCAGAACUAGGGGGUUGCUGGUAUUGAUAAUGUCGGGACCAACAUCUCUUUGGUUCUUUUAGUCUUUGCCUCGUAGUCACAAAAUGGCUGCUGUGUCCAUGGGCAUCCUUAGAUGCAUGGGAUACUGAGAAGUAAAUAUUCAGCUUUCCUGAGCUGUUAGGGGAGGCAGGCAAGGGAACGCAGGGUGGGAAUGGUUGUUGAGUCCAUCAGUCUCCAAUGUCAGCCACAGGAACUUAUGGGAGAAAGGCACAGAAGUAAAACAAGCAUUCAUGGCUUUUUAUAAAGGCAAGGCAGCAUAGUUAAGCCCAUUCAGCAUCUGGUCAUUUCCUUUUCCCUGGACACUGCCUAGAAAGUUCUGUGCCUUAUUUGCUAAAUUGAACACUUGCCCAAGAAUUUAAGUGUAGAUUUCUGCUUGAAUUUUAUUUUCUAACGUAAAGCUUGCCACAAACCUUUAAAGUCAAAUGCAUGAUUGAAAUAGUAAAACUAAAUUGGAAACAAUCUUUACAUCUAAUAAAAAAGAUCAAGUAAAUUUGGAGGUAUUCAAUCAAUGGACUAUUAUUCAAUAGUUAAAAACAUGAAUAGCAGUAUAGAAAGUUACAUGGAAUCUUUUGUAAAGCGAAUUGCCAAGUAUAACGUGCAUGCAUUGCAUUUUUGUAAAAGGAAAUUUUUAUACAAAUAUACAUUUUUAAUGGACUUGUAAAGGUCUAGAGAGGUAGCACUGGAGUGUUAUCAGUUGUUACCAUUUAAGAGUGGACUUUGGAGACAGAAUCUCAGUUUGAAUUAUUUUUGCACUGUUUCAAUUUUUUCCAAUAAGCACAUGUAACUUUUGUAACUAAAAAGAGAUUUUAUUAAAAUUGCCAAUUUAUAUCACCCCUGGGUAACUUGAGCAAAAUCAAUUCAGGCCUGUCAUUAGACGGCUGUGCUGUUUUAAACUUUCAUUUGGAUGAAAAAAUGUAAAAUCAAAGGAAGCCCACUGCCUUCGAGAAUUCUCUCCCACAAUACCUUCAAAUUAUUUACGUUUAAAGAGAAAGUAAACGGAAUAGCAUUUUUGACCUGCUUACUCACUGAAAUACUUUUGCAAAGUCACUCUUUAGAAUCACUGUAAACGUAUUUCAAAAUAUGCCACGGGAACAUACAGCUCAAAUAGAGUGUCAAUCAUUAGCUGAGUCAAAAGUGCAAUUUAUCUUUCAUCAGAUUCACUGAGGGUCAUUCUUUUUAAAGGAUUCAAAUCCAGUUCUCUCAUAUCUGUCACAAUGGAACAACAAGAAAAAAAUAAAAAUUCAACGGAGCUUCUUACCUAGAACUGACACCAUUUCUCUGACGCCUGAUUAGACAGUCUUGUGAAUUAAUUUCUUGCCUAUUAUAGUGUUUUUGAGCUUGACAAUUUUCCAGGGUAAAUUUGUGAUAUGGACUUCCUGAAUUUUCUUGCCUGCCAUACCCAUGUCUUAGAGCAUUGAAGAAAAUCCUUGAUUAUAGAUAUCUUAACUGCAUACCUCCGCUUGAUAGGAAAAUUAGAGCAAGAUAAGCUCAAGGAACAUAAGCACGGUUCUGUGGUUCAAUAAUAGGUAUCAAAAAUGCUGGCAAGAACUAUUCCUUGCCAAAAGCCAUGCUUUUAUGAUAAUGUAGAAUGAACAGAGUUUUUUUUUAAAUUGAA